rnacentral:pre_miRNA from 2 species
UCCCUGAGACCCUAACUCGUGAGGUCUUUUUCCAAAAUCACGGGUCAGGAGCUUGGGAGAC